ACGAACGCUGGCGGCAUGCCUAACACAUGCAAGUCGAACGAGACCUUCGGGUCUAGUGGCGCACGGGUGCGUAACGCGUGGGAACCUGCCCUUAGGUUCGGAAUAACUCCCCGAAAGGGGUGCUAAUACCGGAUAAUGUCUUCGGACCAAAGAUUUAUCGCCUUUGGAUGGGCCCGCGUAGGAUUAGCUAGUUGGUAGGGUAAAAGCCUACCAAGGCGACGAUCCAUAGCUGGUCUGAGAGGAUGAUCAGCCACACUGGGACUGAGACACGGCCCAGACUCCUACGGGAGGCAGCAGUGGGGAAUAUUGGACAAUGGGCGAAAGCCUGAUCCAGCAAUGCCGCGUGAGUGAUGAAGGCCUUAGGGUUGUAAAGCUCUUUUACCCGGGAUGAUAAUGACAGUACCGGGAGAAUAAGCUCCGGCUAACUCCGUG
rnacentral:rRNA from 1 species